GGACCAAGACCAGGGCAUAGGCCGCAGCCGGAAGCUGUCCCACCAGGCCCGGGUAGACCGCACGGUGGGAGGAGCCACACGAUGGGCGGGGCCAGAACGUGAGCCCGCGCUGCGGUGCAAGGGAGGCGGUGCUGUGUAACAGGACCCGAUCCGAGGGGAGCCGCUCUCUGGGGGUGGGGCUCGGGAGCUCCGCGAGAACCUGAGCCGCUUGCAGAGUGAGCAGAAAGUGGAAGACAGCUGCCGCAGCCCAGAAUUGACCAAGAGCAUAACAGACAAGAAGAUUGGGCUCAGAAAGAGGAAUUGAAAUUUGAGUUCAUGAAGACAACUCAAGAAUAAGAGCCUGUCCCUAUGAAGAAGAAUGUCAUUAGACUGGGGAAACAGGCAAAGUGGCCAGAGAAUGAUUUCCUCAGAUAAUUGUAAGGAUCCACACCUUGGCUGGACCUGGGGAUGACAAGUUCUGCACCAUCAGUCACCCAGUCACCUCAGCCAGGACGACAGAUGUGUUUUGGUUACAGCAUUGCUCACACUCAAGUGGUUAGAGUUUCUGUUUUCUUACUAAAUAAUUUGAAUAAACUUCUGCUUAUCUGCAAUUCACACAA